UACGAAGGGGGCUAGCGUUGUUCGGAUUUACUGGGCGUAAAGCGCACGUAGGCGGAUCGAUCAGUCAGGGGUGAAAUCCCAGAGCUCAACUCUGGAACUGCCUUUGAUACUGUCGAUCUGGAGUAUGGAAGAGGUGAGUGGAAUUCCGAGUGUAGAGGUGAAAUUCGUAGAUAUUCGGAAGAACACCAGUGGCGAAGGCGACUUACUGGACAACUGUUGACGCUGAGGUGCGAAAGCGUGGAGAGCAAACAGG
rnacentral:rRNA from 1 species